rnacentral:tRNA from 1 species
GGGCAGAUACCGAAGCGGCCAAACGGGGCAGACUGUAAAUCUGCUGGCGUCAUGCCUUCGCUGGUUCGAAUCCAGCUCUGCCCA